UUGAUAAGUGUGUAUUUUGCAUGUUUUGAGCAUCCAUUUGUCAUCACUUUAGCAUCAUAUCAUCACUGUUUUAUACCAUUUCACAUCAUUUGUCAUCACUUUGCAUGUUUAGGAUAGUUUUGCAUGCAUGUUGCAUAUUUGCGUUGAUUUCAGGUGAUUUAGAGCUAUUGACGAGCUAUCUGGAAGAAGCGGACCUGAUCAUGACAAACCACUCGACCCAGAGGUCGAGUAGGAGCUUCAAGAUCUCAAGAGACCACUCGACCACCAGGUCGCGUAGAGGACAUCACCACUUCACUUCACCACUCGACCCCGAGGUCGAGUGCCCUCGUCUCCAUCACCAGACCAACACUCGAUCACGUCACUCGACCUCGAGGUCGAGUGCCUUCACCUUCACCGCCAGACCACUACUCGACCUCAUCACUCUACCUAGAGGUCGAGUAUCACCAUCACACCACUCGACUGCUUACUCGAUGACAAGCUUCAGAGCCUUCUUCAUUCCGCACUCAACCAGACACUCGAGCACAAGGAAGAAAAGAAGACUCCAGCUAUUCACUCGACCUCUCACUCGACCACCUGGGUCGAGCACAGUUCUUAAUCCGUCCCAAUACUUCGUCGUUUUGAGUAUUAGGGUUUCGGGAUAUUUGGCUAUAAGUAGCAUGUACUUCUCAUUUUCGCAGGAAGAAG
rnacentral:sRNA from 1 species